GUUAGAUUUUAGCGUUUAGCUCGGUGGCGAUCGCUGAAAAAAGACCCAUAACAUCAGAAAUGAUCGGUUUGGGGCGAUGCGAGCUUUUGCAACCGGACAAUUCAGUGGAAAGGGCAGCCGCGGGGCCACCCAGACAGAAAAGGAUGAAAGAGCAUCCUGUUCACUGAGCAGCACUGAAUCACUGUCAUCCUCAAGAGGUCCAAAGUAAGCACAAGAGAGUGAUCCUCGGAAGAGCUCAGACUUCACUUCACCCUCACUGACAUCAGGCCGAAGCUGAGAAAAAGACCAAACCAACCAACAAACCCUUGUGACAUCCAACAUGCUCAGUGGCAAGACACAUAGACCGCUGCCGGGGUGGUGUCAAUCAGCUUGACGCGCUGUGCGCGUCUUCUGCUAAAGGCCGGUGGAAGAUAAGUGCUCAUCUGCUGUUGCUAAAGAAAAGUGGUUGAAGAAGAGUUUGGACACUCUGUUGUGUGUGUGUGUGUGUGUGUGUGUUUGCAGCCCUCGCAGAAUAGAAGCAACUCGAUAAGUACUAUAUGAUAAGGUGAAGGAAACGGCAUAAGAAUAUAUUCAUGUCAACAUAAAUUAACAAGUCUGUCUUUUCGGUCCAGAAGUCUAACAGCUGGGUAACCAAUAUCUCCCGUCCAAACGUGUUUUUUCCUCCCUUGGUCUCUGCUCUGGGACAAUAUGUAGGAGCGUUUUGUCAUUGGUUAUCAGGGGAUGAUAUAUAAUCUAGCCUGCAGAGAAACAUGUGUUGUGCUUUAAUCUAGAGCGCAUAGGCCAGUAUUCAUGGGCAGCAGCUGGAGAAAAUCACAAGAGACAAAGAGUCCAGAAAGGAGACAUACUGCCCGCCUGCUCGGCAGAUGCUGGUUCUUGUUAUCGGCCCUUUCUCCACCUUUAUUUAUGUGGUGACUUACAACCCGACACCCUCUUUUUACAGUUGCGCACAGCUCCUUUGCCCACAAAGACGUGUUUGUAUGAAUAGAUAUUCUAUUUUAGCCUUUAUUGCCG
ensembl:lncRNA